UAUGUAUUUGCCCUGUUGUUACACUCUUCUGUUUAUAGCUGUUGGUGAUAAAAUUCUGGGCUCACAGCCUCUUGAGCUGAGCUCGUAUCACUGUUCUUAGGUACUAAUUAAUUAAUUAGUAAAUGAAAAACAGAAACAGACUAUCUACAGUGAGAGCAUGUUCUCCUUUGCUGGAGACAUUUAAAAGCAGGAAAUAUAUUAAUAAAAUCCAAGUGUCUCAGACAUUUUUAUGAGUGGGCUCCCUUGGCUGUCGGUGAAACUACUGAAGAUCACAUAGGUCCUGAAGGGAGUGAGCAAGUACGGCAAAGCUUCGGACAACUGAUGAAGUUACUGCCUCCAGUUGUCUGCUGCGCAGAGGAUGAGGCCUUUAUGGAUUAACUCUAUUACUCUGAGUACAUUAAAGUUCAGAGCAAGGACUUUAUAGCAGCCAGCAAGUGGCGAAGCACCAUCUGGAUUGGAGUGGCACAGCAUGGAAAGCUAACAUACAUGCUGCACCAGAAACAAAGCAGAUUUAUCCUUAUGUUCACUGGAAGGCAGCUGAUCAGCUUCCAACAGACCGCAACAGUUCCAAACACAAUUGAAUAAAAUACAUAUAUUUGUUGCCA
rnacentral:lncRNA from 1 species